rnacentral:rRNA from 1 species
ACGAGUUUGAUCAUGGCUCAGAGUGAACGCUGGCGGCGUGCUUAACACAUGCAAGUCGAACGGAUGAAAUAAGCUUGCUUAUUUCGUUAGUGGCGCACGGGUGAGUAAUGUAUAGCUAACCUGCCCUUUAGUGGGGGACAACAGUUGGAAACGACUGCUAAUACCCCAUAUUCCUUCUUAUCAUAAGGUAAGUUGGGAAAGAUUUAUUGCUAAAGGAUGGGGCUUUAUGGUAUCAGCUAGUUGGUGGGGUAACGGCCUACCAAGGCUAUGACGUCUACCUGGUCUGAGAGGAUGAUCAGGCACACUGGAACUGAGACACGGUCCAGACUCCUACGGGAGGCAGCAGUGGGGAAUAUUGCACAAUGGAGGAAACUCUGAUGCAGCAACGCCGCGUGGAGGAUGACGCAUUUCGGUGUGUAAACUCCUUUUAUAAGGGAAGAUAAUGACGGUACCUUAUGAAUAAGCACCGGCUAACUCCGUG